UUACAGGUACCGUUGGUGACUUGGUUCUGUUGGUGACUCUAGUUCAGACAACAGUUUUCGGUUGACCUUAAGUGGGAUUUAUGUUCCGAUUUUGACUGAAGCUUCGACCUAGUAUCAGAGUUUGCACAACCAGCCAGUCCAGUCUGCAUCAUGUGCAUCAUAACAUAUUUAUUUUUCAAAAGAAACGCAUUGAAAAAAAAAUCAAAAAAAAAUCAUCAAAAAAAAAAGAGAAAAAAGAAAAAACUAAUCUCUGCAUGCAUAUCAUUUCUCAGGUACAUUCCAAAGUCUGUCUACUGAUAGAGAUGACAACAAUUCCCGAGCCGAAGCGGAAAACCUGUUCCUACAGUUUCCACCGUGAGCCGUUGACUCCGCUAGUUGAGUUGGGUAGCCUCGUGAUAGAUGACCGACUGAAGAGUUUUGUUGGGCG
rnacentral:lncRNA from 1 species